GUGAGGAAUAUUGGUCAAUGGGCGAGAGCCUGAACCAGCCAAGUCGCGUGAAGGAUGAAGGUUUUAUGAAUUGUAAACUUCUUUUGCAGGGGAAUAAAGUACGGUACGUGUACCGUUUUGUAUGUACUCUGCGAAUAAGGAUCGGCUAACUCCGUGCCAGCAGCCGCGGUAAUACGGAGGAUCCAAGCGUUAUCCGGAUUUAUUGGGUUUAAAGGGUGCGCAGGCGGGUUGAUAAGUCAGCGGUGAAAGUUUGCAGCUUAACUGUAAAAUUGCCGUUGAAACUGUCGGUCUUGAGUGCAAAUGAGGUAGGCGGAAUGUGUUGUGUAGCGGUGAAAUGCUUAGAUAUAACACAGAACUCCGAUUGCGAAGGCAGCUUACUGGGAUGCAACUGACACUGAUGCACGAAAGCGUGGGUAUCAAACAGGAUUAGAAACCCUGGUAGUCC
rnacentral:rRNA from 1 species